AUUUGACACAAAGUAAUUUUUUUAAUAUUUCAAAUAAUUUAAAGGGAGACACUGACUCUGGAGUGCACUGCAGUAUAUUUUCUGUUGCUCAGCUGCUGUAAAGAGAUUACAAAAUAAACUCCAUCUGCUCCAAGGGAUAGCUUUAAAGCAUUUUCAGAAGAAAUGAAAGGCUCUUGCUUUUUCCUGAUGGUGCUAGCAUAAAAAGUCAUUCCACGAUGCAUUCAUUACCUGCAUAUCAAUCACAUUGGGAAAAGAAUCCCAGAGAAAGAGAAAAAGAAAGAAGAAACUUCACAGUAAUUUCAAGAAAAUACUGAAAUCCAGAAGAACACAGAGGGAAGGUUAAAGGAAAAGAAGAAAGUGCCAAGCGUAAAGUAUGUUGAUUCACGUUGUGGAACAGCCUGAGAGCACCUCUUUCAAGGCAAAACAGAACUGGGAGAUGCACUCUCCAAGAGUUUGCCUACUGCACUUCUACCAUCAACGAAUGCUCAAUCCACAGGUUCUCUUUCAGCUUCUGAGAUAAACAGAGGGAGGACAGCAAGUGUGUCUGUGUGUGUGUACAGUUACAGUUCUCAGGAAAAAUGAGGGACUCAGAAAACUGAAGAGAGCACAGCAGAGCCAGGUCUGCAAUGACUUAAAAGCAAAACAUGAGCUUCAAGUUGUAGCAGCCUAUCAGAAAUAUUUGAAUGAGGUUUUUCUGAUACUCAGUGUUUCAGCCACAUCACAGUUAGUUAAAGCCUUCAUCAUUGCUUCAGAUUUGGGAAAACUUCUGUUACAUACGAGUGUAAAUGCUCUUUAGGAGGAUGUACUAGAUCACCCACUGGGAAACCGAUAAUAUGUGAUUUUGAAAGUGGGCAGAUCUCUUGGUGCUACUCAAUGUCAUCCUGUCAUCAUCCAGAGGAGAAAGAAGGCUGGGUGGUUGCCUGGCUUCAGCUCUGUGAUAUAACUCUUGGCAAGAAGGCACACAUCAGUGAAUCCUGUACCUUUUAGACCUCCACUCACCAUAACAGUAGCUUGACUUACCUCUUUUCCUCCUCUGUCUACUGUUGGAACCUGUAAUCUGAGGAAUUGCUUGGGGACAUGAGUUCUUUCUACAAUCCUGGCCAUCAGAAAGAGUUGGACAUUUGAACUGAAGACAGUGACAUCUUUGUAGAUGCCAAUAAAAAGAGCAGGAACAGGAGUCAUCAGAGAACUGAACAGCUGGCUUAAAAGAGCUGGGAUUGACUUUCUGGAACUCUGGAACCUCAUUCGGACAAACCUAGCUAUUGCUUUCAUCCCUUGAAGCUAAACUAAUCAUGUGUUGACAGAAGCUCCUUUUGCAGUAGAAGAAACAGCCAUGGUCUUUGUAAAGUUCAGCCAUAGAAGUAUGAAGAGGAAAAGAAAGAUAAAAAAGGUUUUGCAAAAUAUUUUCUAGCCAUUUCUAUACUUUAUGAAAACUUUGGACUUCUUGAAAACCAAAUAAAUGUCAAUAUAUU